rnacentral:rRNA from 1 species
GACGAACGCUGGCGGCGUGCCUAAUACAUGCAAGUCGAGCGAAUGACGAGAAGCUUGCUUCUCUGAUUUAGCGGCGGACGGGUGAGUAACACGUGGGCAACCUGCCCUACAGAUCGGAAUAACUCAGGGAAACCUGGGCUAAUACCGGAUAAUCCUUCGAAUCACAUGUUUUGAAGUUGAAAGGCGCUUCGGCGUCACUGUAGGAUGGGCUCGCGGUGCAUUAGCUAGUUGGUGGGGUAACGGCCUACCAAGGCAACGAUGCAUAGCCGACCUGAGAGGGUGAUCGGCCACAUUGGGACUGAGACACGGCCCAAACUCCUACGGGAGGCAGCAGUAGGGAAUCUUCCACAAUGGACGAAAGUCUGAUGGAGCAACGCCGCGUGAGUGAUGAAGGUUUUCGGAUCGUAAAACCCUGUCGUAAGGGAAGAACAAGUACGUUAGGAAAUGAACGUACCUUGACGGUACCUUAUUAGAAAGCCACGGCUAACUACGUGCCAGCAGCAGCCGCAG